rnacentral:misc_RNA from 1 species
AAAUUUUUAAAUCAUGGUGAAAUGAGAUUCAAAUUGAAAGUUGGAGAAAUGAGAUUCCCUAAUAAUUCAUCGAUCUACAGUUUCUGAACUCAUCUGGGUUCUACAGUGUCUCUGGGUGUUCGUCGUCUCGUUGCGCCUUCUCUAGAAGCUCAAGCUUGGCUGAUGCAUGAUUACGUUGGACUCCCAUAUUCUAGAUUUGGCUUAGUGUAUUUAUGGUUAUUUCUUAUCCUUUGCGUUUAUGUUGGGCGGAAUUCCUUGCCAAAACGACAUAAAAUUGGCGAAGGUAUCUCUGUCUGUGUCCGCAAAAUGAAUGUGCGUGCGGUGUGAAGAUGAAGGAAGCCAAAGGUAGUGCCUUCCGCUGUGAGGAUAAGUAUGAGCUUGCGGAAGAUAGAGUUUCCUUUCGC